AAGUUUUUCGGAUGGAAGCUUGUAAACUUAGUGGCGGACGGGUGAGUAACACGUGAGCAACCUGCCUAUCAGAGGGGAACAACAGUUGGAAACGACUGCUAAUACCGCAUGACGCAUAGGGGUCGCAUGAUCUUUAUGCCAAAGAUUUAUCGCUUCAAGAUGGCCUCGCGUCUGAUUAGCUAGUUGGCGGGGUAACGGCCCACCAAGGCGACGAUCAGUAGCCGGACUGAGAGGUUGAACGGCCACAUUGGGACUGAGAUACGGCCCAGACUCC
rnacentral:rRNA from 1 species